rnacentral:rRNA from 1 species
UACGUAGGGGGCGAGCGUUGUCCGGAAUUAUUGGGCGUAAAGAGCGUGUAGGCGGUUCGGUAAGUCUGCCGUGAAAACCUGGGGCUCAACCCCGGGCGUGCGGUGGAUACUGCCGGGCUAGAGGGUGGUAGAGGCGAGUGGAAUUCCCGGUGUAGCGGUGAAAUGCGUAGAUAUCGGAAGGAACAUCAGUGGCGAAAGCGACUUCCUGGACCAAUACUGACGCUCAUGUGCGAAAGCGUGGGGAGCAAACAGG